rnacentral:rRNA from 1 species
CAGCCGCCACGGUAAUACGGAGGGUGCAAGCGUUAUCCGGAUUUAUUGGGUUUAAAGGGUCCGUAGGCGGACUUAUAAGUCAGUGGUGAAAGCCUGUCGCUUAACGAUAGAACUGCCAUUGAUACUGUAAGUCUUGAGUAUAUUUGAGGUAGCUGGAAUAAGUAGUGUAGCGGUGAAAUGCAUAGAUAUUACUUAGAACACCAAUUGCGAAGGCAGGUUACCAAGAUAUAACUGACGCUGAGGGACGAAAGCGUGGGUAGCGAACAGGAUUAGAUACCCGUGUAGUCCCUGUCUCUUAUAU